AUUGAACGCUGGCGGCAGGCUUAACACAUGCAAGUCGGACGAGUGGCGGACGGGUGAGUAAUGCAUGGGAAUCUGGCUGAUGGAGGGGGAUAACUACGGGAAACGGUAGCUAAUACCGCAUACCAUAGGAUGAGCCCAAUUUGGAUUAGCUGGUUGGUGGGGGAAUGGCCUACCAAGGCGACGAUCACUAGCGGGUCUGCGAGGCUGAUCAGCCACACCGGGACUGUGACACGUCCCGGACUCCUACGUGAGGCAGCAGUGGGGAAUAUUGUGCAAUGGGGGCAAACUGACUCAGCCAUGCCGCGUGAAUGAAGAAGGCCUUCGGGUUGUAAAGUUCUUUUGGUUAGGAAGCGUUAAUCGAAGAAGAAGCACCGGCUAACUCCGGGCCAGCAGCCGCGGUAAUAC
rnacentral:rRNA from 1 species